ACAUGAAAAAAGCAUGGUAAUGUGUACGGAGAUGAAUAGUCAUCAUGUCUGCCCGCUUUGAUUCUCUCUAUGAUAAGUGGGCCUGGAUUAGACUUACAUUC
rnacentral:snoRNA from 1 species